UAACAUAUAUGAGGCAACUGGAGCUCCAACUAAACGAAAGAGAAUGCACCAUCAAAUACUAAUAAAUGAAAGGACAAAAUUUGCUUCUGCAUAGCCAACACGCACUGGACCUUCAAUUAUCUUUCAAAUAACAGGUCACAAGACUCCAACAAAAUUGCCAGGGGAGCAAAUUCUCACAAGCUCCACACCACCAAGCAUCUAGCAAUGCGUAAUAGAGCAGAGGGCGAAACAGAGCUUCACGGUAACAAGCAAAAGCAGGGUCGUAACCAAGUGGCAUCUACAAGCAAACUAAUGCCUUCUAAACAUAUUAUAAAGAUUCCAGGCAUACCAAUGGAUUUGAGGUCCAUUCAAAGAAAGAGAAUAGGAAGCCUUUCACCUUUGAAUUUAGCCACAUCCAUGACUUGUAUUGGAUCCUUUCCAAGGCGUUUGACAGUACCAGCUCCUCACCUUUAAAGAUCAAACUGUUUAUGAUACAGUAGCCAACCAAAUGAAACCCAACCCUUCCAUCUUAUCCUUUCCACAGUGAAUUCCCAAACAUUGCAGAAAAU
rnacentral:lncRNA from 1 species